CUUCCAGACCUCUGCCCACUCCCCCACGACUUCCAAGAGCUCCCGAGCCCUCCAUUGGCCGUCUCGGUCGCCGGUGGCCACCGCCUAAAUUUGGGCAGCCCCGAGCCCUUCUCUUCCUUCUACCACCCCAAUAGAUCAUCCAGACCCCGGCGCAUCUCCCCCACCUCUCCACGCAUCACCGGAGCCACUCUGGCCUCGAGCCCCACCGGUGCCCGACGCCUCUGUCCGCCGCGGCUGGAGUUCCGCACAGCCGAGCCCUCCCCCGCACCUGCGUAGUGCCUGGACGGGACCGCCUCGCUCCCCUAAGCACGCGGGUGGUUCGGGCUCCGCAUAUGGUGGCCUACGGCACCAGCCACCGUCGCCGGAGCUCGCCCCGUCCUCUGCUCCGCGGGCGGGCGAGCGAUUGAAGACGGCGACUCCCCCUGCUCGUGGGCCCCGCCUGUCGGUCUCUAUGCGCUGACUGGGCCGACCCGCUGACGUGGUUAAGUGGAGACGUACUCCCGGAGUACGCUUUCCCUUAACUGAAAGCGCACUCCGUUUCUUCUUCAGGCCUAAAAAAGUCCCUGACCUUCAUCACCUCACAACUUUUCACUCGUAACUCCGAUUGAGCCCCUUUGGGAGAGAACGUUUUCCGGCGAUUCUUUCCGCGAGCUUCUCACACUUCUUCCCGGUGAUUUCUUCCACCCCAGGCAAGCCACACCCUCCAUUAACAUGAUUGCAAUGCAGUGACAUGGUUUAAGUUAUUUGAACUUGUUUAAAAUAUUACAUUAGCUAUGUGUGAUUUGUUCAUGGCAUUCCUCGGAGUAUUGUUUUGAUCUCAAUGUUGCCAUGAUAUUGCUUGGAGUUCUAGAACUUAUAUUUUGAUGAUUAUGUGGAUGGCAUGUUGCCUUUGGAUUCUUAGUGGCUCUUAUGGUUAUGUUCAUGUUGGUAUUAUGCUUUGGAGUAUUACUUUGGAUAUCAUGUUGCCUUUGAAUUAUUAGUGGCUAGUGUUAGUUUCAUCAUGAUGGUAGUUGAUAUUAUGUUUUGGAGUAUGGAGAUGAUGCUUGCAUGUGGAUCAUAGUUGGAUAGUUAGUUCUUGAUAUUUGAGUAGUAGUCUUAUCAUUCUUGGAUUCAUCAGGAUAGUAGUGUUAUGCUGUCCUUAGAGUAUUUUGGAAAUACGAUAUUCAGCUUUGAAUUAUUUGUUGGAUAUUUCUAUGACUUGGAUUAUAGGUUAAUAGAUGAUAUCGGAGUAUCAGUCAUUACUGUUAUGUUUCGGGGAUAAAUUCCAUCACUAAGUUGGUCAGGUGCCACCGAACUGGGCUUUUUCCAGUGCAACCACAUUUGCCUUUUAUGGGAAGGCCCUAAUGCGGUCUAUUGUCGUGCCUCUCGCCGGUGCCUCCAACGAGGAAGGUUAUGGGCAUGCGGUACCCUGGCCCAGUAAGAAGACAUAACUUUGUGUGCCCGUUGUUGUUGUUAUGUGCAUGUGUCCCAGGUUGGGAUGGUUUAUUGUUUUUGCCACGACGGUGGUCGUGUGUCUUUGGUAGACACGGGGCCACCCAGGACUAGCCCAGUGGGGAGUGAGUUGAAAUGGCCGGGAGAGUGUCAUGGCAGUAGAUCGGUUUUGUCGGAAC